rnacentral:rRNA from 1 species
GACGAACGCUGGCGGCGUGCCUAAUACAUGCAAGUUGAGCGCUGAAGGUUGGUACUUGUACCAACUGGAUGAGCAGCGAACGGGUGAGUAACGCGUGGGGAAUCUGCCUUUGAGCGGGGGACAACAUUUGGAAACGAAUGCUAAUACCGCAUAAAAACUUUAAACACAAGUUUUAAGUUUGAAAGAUGCAAUUGCCUCACUCAAAGAUGAUCCCGCGUUGUAUUAGCUAGUUGGUGAGGUAAAGGCUCACCAAGGCGAUGAUACAUAGCCGACCUGAGAGGGUGGUCGGCCACAUUGAGACGGAGACAAGGCCCAUACUACUACGAGAGGCAGCAGAAGGGAAUCUUAAGCAAUGGACGAAAGUCUGACCGAGCAACGCCGAGGGAGUGAAGAAGGUUUUCGGAUCGUAAUACUCUGUUGGUAGAGAAGAACAUUGGUGAGAGUGGAAAGCUCAUCAAGUGACGGUAACUACCCAGAAAAGGACGGCUAACUACGUG